ensembl:lncRNA
ACUGUGUAACACACACGAUCGCCAGCUUCCCCAGGCAGGAAAAACCGGUCACAUGACGCUCAAGCUUUCUGAUUGGCUCAAAAAACACCUGCCAGACUCCUGAGGCGGUUUCAUCUGUCACACCUGAAGCAGGAGGUGAAGCGGCUCGGGGACUUUCCUCACUGCAGAAACAGCAGAUUAAAUCCAUAAUUCCCGUGAGAAGCGGCAGAGGCUUUGUCUCACUCAAUGAUUCAUAAUCCACCGAUUCGCUGCUGUUCUUUGGCUCCAACGUCCGCGAGCUUCAAGCACCGACAAAAUGUCCCACUCGGUCCAAAGGUUGUGGACAAACCUGCACGUCAUAUGUGACUCUUCCCCACCAGCUAAAGGUUGGUGUGAAGGUGUGGACUCUGCUAUGAAUCAGGCUGAGGACCCAGAGGACGGAGUCCCUCCCUCUGAAGCCCCUCUGUGUGGGGAACAUGACAGCCAGACCAAAGCUCAGAGGUGAGAGGACCAUCUCCAACUGUCUUCCACUCGUCUCCAUGUCCCAACGUCUCUGACUCACUGACUCUGCUUCUACAUGUGUGACCAG